rnacentral:lncRNA from 1 species
GAUACAUGCAGAUGACUCAGAAAGGAAACUGCAUGAGGUUUUGGUGUCUUCAAAACUUUUAUCCUGACAGACAAAUUUUUUUUUUUUUUUUUAAAGGGUGGAAACAACUAAGUAUGUUCAAAUGCUGUUUGAAAGGAGUCAGUGGAGAAGAGGAAGAGAAGGAAGUGAUCAGUGGAGAAAUAUAUCAGAGGAAGUGGGAAACAUGUUCGGAGAGAAACAUAAAUUUAGGAGGACAAGGGAAUUCUUCGUGGGCUAAUUGGUGUUUAAAACAGACUUUGGAAGCUGAGUGAGGUUUUGCCAGAUGAAGGCAUUGAAAAAGAAUGGAAGGCUUUUAAAAAUUUAUUGGAGUGUAGUUGACUUACAAUGUUAUCUUAGUUUCGGGUGUUACUAAUCACUCACUAGAGCCAUAAAAAAUUCACAAUAGAGCAACUUCCUGGCGAUCCCUCUGAGGUAAAUUAAUUGUGAAAUGUACUUCCUUGGUAGCUGAGAGAUUUGACCUGGUGCAUCAAAUUGUUAAAGACAUCUGUGAUCUGCACCAACCCUUCUUAAAAUAGCAAAAGAAAGGAAAAGUUAUAAAAGUUAUAAUGAAUAAUGUGUCCUGUACCCUACUAUGGAAAGUUACUAAGGGCAAAUUAUGCAUGAAGAAUUCAAUACUUCUCUUUUUUCUAAGUGACACAUUUAAUGGAUAAAAGAUCUCCAGUUAAUAAUCAUUUUUGUGUUCUUCAAAUAAAUGUUGGCUAUAAUUCUUAACACAUGCAUUAUAUAUAGCAAAGCUAUAAAGACAUAUUUAAUAGUCUCCAAGUCAAAGUGAUGUCUGUAAAAGAUAAAGAUAAAUUUAAAAAACUUGGAAAUUGAAACAUUGAUUUUAUAUAUUUAAUGAUUGUUUUCAAAUGGCAGUGAUGAACUAAUUCUUCAAUAUUAACUGAUUACUAUAUUUCCAUUAAUGAUAAAUAUUUUUCAAUAUUUUUUACAUAGCCUACAUAAUUUACUUUAUUCAAUCCUCACAAUAGUCCCACAGAAUGGGCAUUAAAAUCCUUUAACAGUUGGAUAAAUUAUCACUGGUACACAAGACCAGAGUUUUCUUUUUUUUUUUAACUGAAGUAUAACUGACUUACAAUGAUAUUAGUUUCAAGUGUACAACAUAGUGAUUCAAUAUUUUUAUACAUUACAAAAUGAUCACCAUGGUAAGUCUAGUUACCAUCUGUCACUGUACAAAGUUAUUACAAUAUUAUUGAUUGUAUUCCUUAUGUUGUAUAUCUCUGUGACUUAUUUUUAUAUUUUAUAAAAUAUAAGUGGAAAAAUUUUACCUGUAAUUCCCUUCCCUACAUCCCUUCACCCUUCUCCCCUCUGAAAACCACCUGUUUGUUUUCUGUACCUACAUCCUAUUUCUGUUCUGUUUUUUUAGGUUCCACAUAUAAGUGAAAUCAUACAGUAAUUGUCUCUCUCUGUCUGACUUAUUCCAAUUGGUCUUAUAACCUCUAAGAGAUCAGAAUUUUCUUUACUGCAAUGAUCCAAUGAUUCUUCUAUACUUUAGCCUUCAGUGUAAAAUGUUGUUGUACAUCCUAUUAUUAUUUUUAUUAUACUUGAUUUGACAUUUGAUAUUAUAUAGAUUAUUGCAGAAUGGAUUCCUCCUUUAAAAACAAAGCCAUAUGGGAGUUCCCUGGUGGCCUAGUGGUUAAGGAUUCAACAUUGUCACUGCUGUGGCUUGGGUUUGAUACCUGGCCCUGGCCCAGGAAUUCCAUAUGCCGUGAGCAUGGCCAAAAAAAUAUCCACAAAGCUAUAUGGAAAUCACCACUUGCACAUGUUAUGUUGGAAAUGUAAACUGGUAAAACUAUUCUAAAGGACUAUUUGACAAUGUAUUUCUCUCUAUGAGAUGAUUAUAUUUUUCUGCCUCCUUUAAGUCAGACUUAGCCUUGUGAGUUGAUUUGGCCAAUUGAUUUUGGUGAGUUAAAAUGAAACUCAAAAAGCCAUCACGUGCUUUGCUUUUCUCUCCUUACUGAUUCUAUAACCAGUAGUGCCUAAGAUAAUGGCUGCUCUGAUGGCCUGGGUCUGAGUGCAAAUGACAUAGGGCAGAGCCCAAGCAACCACUGAUGAUCCACUGUCAUAAACCAUUGUCUUAAGCCUCUGAGAUUUUUGAGUUGCUCUUAACCCAAUGUAAUCUGUCAGAAAAUUUUCCACUGGAAAUUUAUCUUAAUGAGUUCAUUAAAUAUGUUCACAAAUUUUACCUAACUUUAUCUUCAUGACAGUGAACUUGGAGAUAAACUAAACACCNCCCUUUUUAUUUUUUUUUUUUUUUUUUUUUUUUUUUGUCUUUUUGCUUUUUCUAGGGCUGCUUCCGCGGCAUGUGGAUGUUCCCAGGCUAGGGGUGGAAUCGGAGCUGUAGCCGCUGGCCUACGCCAGAGCCACAGCAACGUGGGAUCCGAGCCGAGUCGGCAACCUACACCACAGCUCACGGCAACGCCGGAUCAUUAACCCACUGAGCAAGGCCAGGAACCGGACCCUCAACCUCAUGGUUCCCAGUCGGAUUCAUUAACCACUGUGCCAUAACGGGAACUCCUUGCCUACUUAAUCUUUAAAAAAAUUAUAGUACAUCUAAGUACAUCUAGAAAUUCAAGAUGAAAUAAAUAAAAGAAGCUCAAACUUUAUGUAUAAUCAUAAAUUUUUUUCAGAAACAGUAUACAGCAAGGUGUUCACAGGGUUAUUUCUAGAUGGUUUGCCUUUAGUUUUAAGUCUUUCUUCUUUUUGCAUUUCCCAAUUAUUUCUCAAUAAAAAUUUUAAGAAUAAUCAUGGGAAUAUCAGUGAUAAUAACAAGAAAAAAAUCUUAUACUUUCUGAUCCCAGUGCUUCUGUUUGCAUCAUCUCAUGCUACCUCAUUAACAGUAAACUCGUGUAUUUCUAUAAUGAAUGGAGGAGAAUCCAAGAAGGCUUGGCACUGUCUACUAGGGCUUGUUUCUCUUCUAGAGCCAACAACUGGACACUGGUUUGAAGAAACCCAAUCAUAAUCAUAGCAUUUUUCUCUGUAACCUUUGCAAAGCUUGACUAUAAUGCUUUGGCAAAUUAAGCAAAGGUUUUGACUCUCUGUCUUUGUUUAUGGGCUAAGAAAAGAUAUAUGAUGUACUCAGUCUUGACAAGUGUCAAAAACCUGUGUUCUUUGGUACUUCUCAUACUGAGGUCAAGAAAAACAAGGAAAGACUGAGAAAGUGUCACAGACUAGAGGAGACAGGAAACAUGACAACAAGGUACAAUGUGGUAUACUAGAUUGGAUCUUUGAAGAAGGAAAAGAAAAAUCAUGAAAAAAAAUAGUGAAAUCCAAAUCAACUCUAUGUUUAGUUAGUGGUAAUGUAUCACUGCCAAGUUCUUAAUUUUGGCACAUAUACCAGAGAGGAUAAUGUAAAAAGUUAACUAUGGAGAAAAUGGAUAAAGCAUGAUGUAAGCAGAAUAAAGACUUUCCAAAAAAUCUGUGUUCCAAACUCUGGAACCUGUGGUUAAGUUAUAUAAUAAAUGGAAUUAAGUCGAUCUUAUAAUAGGGAGGUAAGUCUGGUUUACCCGGGUGAACAUGAUAUAAUUGCAAGAGUCCUUAAAUGAGGAAAAGGUGGGCAGAAGAAUCAAUGUCAGUUGUACAGUAGGAGAAAGACUUGACUGGCCAUUGCUGGCUUUGAAGAUGCAAAGGGACCAGACAUAGGGAUUUAUGGGAAGUCUCUAAAAGCUGGAAAAGGCAAGGAAAUAGAAUCUUCCCCAGAGUUCCCAGAAGGAAUGAAGCCUUAUCAGCACCUUAAUUUUACCCAAUUAACUCCAGAGUUGUAAAUUUGUUUUAAGCCACCAAGUUUGUGGUCAUUUAUUACAAUAUCUAUAGAAAACUGGUAUAAGAAGUAUACAGGAACUCUCUAGACUAUCUUUCCAACUCUUCUAUAAUUCUAAAGUCAUUCCAAAAUAAAAAGUUUAUUUUUUAAAAAAGUGUACUUUUAAGAAAAGUCAGGGUGCAUUUAUACACCUGCAGUCAUUCAAAAGAUUCCUCAAUAGGAUAUUGAACUUUCAAAUAUGUUUGGAUACGAGCCCUGCUUUCUUGGUCUCGCCUCCUGUUCAUUCUCCCCAGUUCUGACACUUCAGUUGGAUGCAACUUCAGGUAGCUAGGAUUCAACAUUCCUCCCACCUCUCAUGGAUCUCUGACCUCUGCCUCUUCCCUAGUUGUGGCUUUGCCACUCCUGCUUAGGUGCUAACAGUUGCAAUAGUAGCCACCACCUCCCACAAGGUUAGGCAAAAGCAACCUUUUUUAAAAUAACACAUUUACUAAGGGUUAGAAAUUCAGAAAAGAGCUGAGCUGUAUUACCAUAGCAACCAGACAGAAAUGAAAACAUGCAGUCAACUCAUUUGUUGAGGCUGCAGAAUAUCAGAUAAACUGUGGGAUCAUCAAAUUGGUUUGAAAAAAAAAUUCCUCACCAGACUCCAGCCACUCCUCUGAUUUCAUCCCAUGCUGUCAGUUUGAGAUGUUUUCCAGGUUUUGUUACCCUCAAAGCUACAAAUAAUAAAUAUUCUUCAGGAAUAAAAAGAAUCACAUUCUAAAAAAGAAGGCAUUCUCAAACAAAGGCUUUCCUUGGUUUUUGUUUUUUAUUUGUUUUUCUUUUUGUUCUUCAGUCUCAAAUCUAGUUAUUCCAUAUGUACAGAGUCAGUCUUUAUUUAUUUAUUUAUUUUUCAUUUUUGGCUUGCCUGUGGCAUAUAGAGUUCCAGGGCCAAAGAUCAGAUCCGAGCAGAAGCUGAGACCUAAGCUACAGCUGUGGCAAUGCUGGAUUCUUAACCCACUGUGCCAGGCUGGUAAUUGAACCUGCAUCUCGGUCCUCCCAAGAUACCUCCGAUCCCAUUGUACCACAGCAGGAACUCCUAUUUAUUUACUUUUAAUUUUUUUUUUUUUUGGCCACACCAGCAGCAUGUAGAAAUUCCCAGGCCAGGUAUCAAACUCAUGCCACAGCAGUGACCCAUGCCAUUGUAGUGGCAACAUGGAUUCCUAACCCACUGCACCACAAAGGAACUCCCUGGGUCAGCCUUUUUAAAAAUGCUUGCCCACAGAGCCCAGGAAAUCUUCUCUAUCCUAAAUCAUUGUUCCUAAUUCUAUUCUAGGUACCUGAAAUGCCAUCAUUAGUGUUUAGGCAUUGUUAGGAUUUCAUCUCUACCAUGUAUAUAUACUGUAUGUCAGUUAGCAGAUCCUGCAGACUACUCCUGGGAUGUAAUCUCCACCUCUAAGUUUUUUUGUGUAGUUCCCUAUGCCACAUACCAGGUACUCAAUUAUUAUUUAUUCUCCUCUUCUUCUCUUUCCCGUUUUCCUUUACGGUCUUCAAAUGUACCCUAAAAAUCCAGUAUAGAUAAUCUGGAAAAUAACUAAGUUCAUGAACUUUCAGAACUCCAAACAUCUGUAGGGAUACUUUAGUUCAAAUCUUCAGCACAUAGACAUGGAAAUUGGAGCCUGGAGACACUGGGAGCCCUUCCUGAGAUCAAAGCAUCAAUUACUGGCUGACUUUUGGAAAACACUGGGUUUUCCAAAGUUUUAUAUUUCCUCCUCUAGUGGAGAAGGUACUAACACACACUGUGAGGAUAGGGCAUAUGGUGCUAAUUAGUUGACAAAUCCCUAGGAAUACACAGAAAGGACAUAGCCCAAAUGACAGGCUGGAUCCCUGAUAAGAGAAUUAGAAACACAUCAAAUAUCACAGCUUCUUCAAAGGUAAUCCAUGCACCGAAGGAGAACUUGUGUUUUGCAUCCUGAACUUCACUCAUGGUAAAUAAUUACCAUACACCUAAUUGUCUGGUUCCUCUAUUACUUUUCAUGUGCCAAGGAACAGAAAGCAUGGUGACCGUGAUUAUUUUUAAAAUGUCAGUGCCAAGCACAAUGUAUGUCUCAUAUUAUUGGCAGACUUCCCCCCCCCCCCCCACAACUGUAGCCUGUGGAAGUUUUCAGGUCAGGGAUUAAACCUGCACUGCAGUUGCCUCCACCACAGCUGUGGCAAUGCCUGAUCCUUAACUGCUGCUCUUCAUGGGGACUUCCACAGGCAAACAUUUUAUUUGCAAUUUUGUUGCUAAUUUAAAUGCUUCUAUGGUGAAAAACUUUCCUGUGAAACGAAUGCAAUUAAUUUUUGUAACUAUAUAUAUUCAUAGUCAUUCAUUCAAUCUUUAAUUACACAUUUUAAAUUCUCUAAUAUGGAAAUUAGAAAUGUAUAAAAUUGUGUUAAGGUGUGUAUCAGUAUGCAUGUAAUCAGGAAAACAUUAUGAGUGCAAUUAGUAAAACAAAUCUGAAAAUAAAAUAUUUUUGAUAGUUUCC